UACGGGGGGGGCAAGCGUUGUUCGGAAUUACUGGGCGUAAAGGGCUCGUAGGCGGCCAACUAAGUCAGACGUGAAAUCCCUCGGCUUAACCGGGGAACUGCGUCUGAUACUGGAUGGCUUGAGCGUGGGAGAGGGAUGCGGAAUUCCAGGUGUAGCGGUGAAAUGCGUAGAUAUCUGGAGGAACACCGGUGGCGAAGGCGGCAUCCUGGACCAUUACUGACGCUGAGUGAGCGAAAGCCAGGGGAGCAAACGGG
rnacentral:rRNA from 1 species